GAUGAACGCUGGCGGCGUGCCUAAUACAUGCAAGUCGAGCGAGCAGACGAGGAGCUUGCUCCUCUGACGUUAGCGGCGGACGGGUGAGUAACACGUGGAUAACCUACCUAUAAGACUGGGAUAACUUCGGGAAACCGGAGCUAAUACCGGAUAACAUGUUGAACCGCAUGGUUCAACAGUGAAAGACGGUCUUGCUGUCACUUAUAGAUGGAUCCGCGCCGCAUUAGCUAGUUGGUAAGGUAACGGCUUACCAAGGCAACGAUGCGUAGCCGACCUGAGAGGGUGAUCGGCCACACUGGAACUGAGACACGGUCCAGACUCCUACGGGAGGCAGCAGUAGGGAAUCUUCCGCAAUGGGCGAAAGCCUGACGGAGCAACGCCGCGUGAGUGAAGAAGGUCUUCGGAUCGUAAAACUCUGUUAUUAGGGAAGAACAAAUGUGUAAGUAACUAUGCACGUCUUGACGGUACCUAAUCAGAAAGCCACGGCUAACUACGUG
rnacentral:rRNA from 1 species